rnacentral:tRNA from 1 species
AUUACAGUAAGCUAGUUAAGCUGUUGGGCCCAUAACCCAAAAAAGAGUUUCUCCUGUAAAA